GCCGGAAGACCAAGGGUUCCUGUCCAACGUUAAUCGGGGCAGGGUGAGUCGACCCCUAAGGCGAGGCCGAAAGGCGUAGUCGAUGGGAAACGGGUUAAUAUUCCCGUACUUGGUGUUACUGCGAAGGGGGGACGGAGAAGGCUAUGUUGGCCGGGCGACGGUUGUCCCGGUUUAAGCGUGUAGGUGUGUGUUCCAGGUAAAUCCGGUUCACUUUAACACUGAGGCGUGAUGACGAGGCACUACGGUGCUGAAGUAACAAAUGCCCUGCUUCCAGGAAAAGCCUCUAAGCAUCAGGUAACAUCAAAUCGUACCCCAAACCGACACAGGUGGUCAGGUAGAGAAUACCAAGGCGCUUGAGAGAACUCGGGUGAAGGAACUAGGCAAAAUGGUGCCGUAACUUCGGGAGAAGGCACGCUGACACGUAGGUGAAGUGAUUUACUCACGGAGCUGAAGUCAGUCGAAGAUACCAGCUGGCUGCAACUGUUUAUUAAAAACACAGCACUGUGCAAACACGAAAGUGGACGUAUACGGUGUGACGCCUGCCCGGUGCCGGAAGGUUAAUUGAUGGGGUCAGCGCAAGCGAAGCUCCUGAUCGAAGCCCCGGUAAACGGCGGCCGUAACUAUAACGGUCCUAAGGUAGCGAAAUUCCUUGUCGGGUAAGUUCCGACCUGCACGAAUGGCGUAAUGAUGGCCAGGCUGUCUCCACCCGAGACUCAGUGAAAUUGAACUCGCUGUGAAGAUGCAGUGUACCCGCGGCAAGACGGAAAGACCCCGUGAACCUUUACUAUAGCUUGACACUGAACAUUGAGCCUUGAUGUGUAGGAUAGGUGGGAGGCUUUGAAGUGUGGACGCCAGUCUGCAUGGAGCCGACCUUGAAAUACCACCCUUUAAUGUUUGAUGUUCUAACGUGGACCCGUUACCCGGGUUGCGGACAGUGUCUGGUGGGUAGUUUGACUGGGGCGGUCUCCUCCUAAAGAGUAACGGAGGAGCACGAAGGUUGGCUAAUCCUGGUCGGACAUCAGGAGGUUAGUGCAAUGGCAUAAGCCAGCUUGACUGCGAGCGUGACGGCGCGAGCAGGUGCGAAAGCAGGUCAUAGUGAUCCGGUGGUUCUGAAUGGAAGGGCCAUCGCUCAACGGAUAAAAGGUACUCCGGGGAUAACAGGCUGAUACCGCCCAAGAGUUCAUAUCGACGGCGGUGUUUGGCACCUCGAUGUCGGCUCAUCACAUCCUGGGGCUGAAGCAGGUCCCAAGGGUAUGGCUGUUCGCCAUUUAAAGUGGUACGCGAGCUGGGUUUAGAACGUCGUGAGACAGUUCGGUCCCUAUCUGCCGUGGGCGCUGGAGAACUGAGGGGGGCUGCUCCUAGUACGAGAGGACCGGAGUGGACGCAUCACUGGUGUUCGGGUUGUCAUGCCAAUGGCACUGCCCGGUAGCUAAAUGCGGAAGAGAUAAGUGCUGAAAGCAUCUAAGCACGAAACUUGCCCCGAGAUGAGUUCUCCCUGAGACUUAGAGUCUCCUGAAGGAACGUUGAAGACGACGACGUUGAUAGGCCGGGUGUGUAAGCGCAGCGAUGCGUUGAGCUAACCGGUACUAAUGAACCGUGAGGCUUAACCUU
rnacentral:rRNA from 1 species